AUCUAUACAGUGAAACUGCGAAUGGCUCAUUAAAUCAGUUAUCGUUUAUUUGAUAGUACCUUACUACAUGGAUAACCGUGGUAAUUCUAGAGCUAAUACAUGCUAAAAACCCCGACUUCGGAAGGGGUGUAUUUAUUAGAUAAAAAACCAACGCCCUUCGGGGCUCCUUGGUGAUUCAUAAUAACUUAACGAAUCGCAUGGCCUUGAGCCGGCGAUGGUUCAUUCAAAUUUCUGCCCUAUCAACUUUCGAUGGUAGGAUAGUGGCCUACCAUGGUAUCAACGGGUAACGGGGAAUUAGGGUUCGAUUCCGGAGAGGGAGCCUGAGAAACGGCUACCACAUCCAAGGAAGGCAGCAGGCGCGCAAAUUACCCAAUCCCGACACGGGGAGGUAGUGACAAUAAAUACUGAUACAGGGCUCUUUUGGGUCUUGUAAUUGGAAUGAGUACAAUUUAAAUCCCUUAACGAGGAACAAUUGGAGGGCAAGUCUGGUGCCAGCAGCCGCGGUAAUUCCAGCUCCAAUAGCGUAUAUUAAAGUUGUUGCAGUUAAAAAGCUCGUAGUUGAACCUUGGGCCUGGCUGGCCGGUCCGCCUCACCGCGUGUACUGGUCCGGCCGGGCCUUUCCUUCUGGGGAUCCGCAUGCCCUUCACUGGGUGUGCCGGGGAACCAGGACUUUUACUUUGAAAAAAUUAGAGUGUUCAAAGCAGGCCUUUGCUCGAAUACAUUAGCAUGGAAUAAUAGAAUAGGACGUGCGGUUCUAUUUUGUUGGUUUCUAGGACCGCCGUAAUGAUUAAUAGGGAUAGUCGGGGGUGUCAGUAUUCAAUUGUCAGAGGUGAAAUUCUUGGAUUUAUUGAAGACUAACUACUGCGAAAGCAUUCACCAAGGAUGUUUUCAUUAAUCAGUGAACGAAAGUUAGGGGAUCGAAGACGAUCAGAUACCGUCGUAGUCUUAACCGUAAACUAUGCCGACUAGGGAUCGGGCGAUGUUAUCAUUUUGACUCGCUCGGCACCUUACGAGAAAUCAAAGUCUUUGG
rnacentral:rRNA from 1 species